rnacentral:rRNA from 1 species
UGGCGGCAGGCCUAACACAUGCAAGUCGAGCGGUAACAGAAAGUAGCUUGCUACUUUGCUGACGAGCGGCGGACGGGUGAGUAAUGCCUAGGGAUCUGCCCAGUCGAGGGGGAUAACAGUUGGAAACGACUGCUAAUACCGCAUACGCCCUACGGGGGAAAGGAGGGGACCUUCGGGCCUUUCGCGAUUGGAUGAACCUAGGUGGGAUUAGCUAGUUGGUGAGGUAAUGGCUCACCAAGGCGACGAUCCCUAGCUGUUCUGAGAGGAUGAUCAGCCACACUGGGACUGAGACACGGCCCAGACUCCUACGGGAGGCAGCAGUGGGGAAUAUUGCACAAUGGGGGAAACCCUGAUGCAGCCAUGCCGCGUGUGUGAAGAAGGCCUUCGGGUUGUAAAGCACUUUCAGUUGUGAGGAAAGGGUGUUGCUUAAUACGCAACAUCUGUGACGUUAGCAACAGAAGAAGGACCGGCUAACUCCGUGCCAGC